rnacentral:rRNA from 1 species
UACGAAGGGGGCUAGCGUUGUUCGGAUUUACUGGGCGUAAAGCGCACGUAGGCGGAUUGUUAAGUCAGGGGUGAAAUCCUGGAGCUCAACUCCAGAACUGCCUUUGAUACUGGCAAUCUUGAGUCCGGAAGAGGUGAGUGGAACUCCUAGUGUAGAGGUGGAAUUCGUAGAUAUUAGGAAGAACACCAGUGGCGAAGGCGGCUUACUGGUCCGGUACUGACGCUGAGGUGCGAAAGCGUGGGGAGCAAACAGG